UACGUAGGGUGCAAGCGUUGUCCGGAAUUAUUGGGCGUAAAGAGUUCGUAGGCGGUUUGUCGCGUCCGUUGUGAAAACCCGCGGCUCAACCGCGUGGCUUGCAGUCGAUACGGGCAGGCUAGAAUUCGGUAGGGGAGACUGGAAUUCCUGGUGUAGCGGUGAAAUGCGCAGAUAUCAGGAGGAACACCGGUGGCGAAGGCGGGUCUCUGGGCCGAUAUUGACGCUGAGGAGCGAAAGCGUGGGGAGCGAACAGG
rnacentral:rRNA from 1 species